UCACAUAAGUGAUGGGUAAGGGUGAAAAGGUGCGGUAAGAGCGCACCAGUUCCCCGGGUGACCGGGGAAGCUUGGUAAACCCCACCUGGUGCAAGACCAAAUAGAGGAGCGUUUGAGGGUAGCCCGUCCGAGCUCCCGGGUAGGUCGCAAGAGGUGCCGGGCAACCGGCACCCAUAGAUGAAUGAUCGUUACCCUGUUGGGGGUAACCCUUGCAGGGAACAGAAUUCGGCUUAUGGACUGUUCCGGCCG
rnacentral:RNase_P_RNA from 1 species